AGCCGAGCAUUGGCCGCCGCCCAGAAGAGCGGAUAACCCGCUCCACUGCGCAAAAAUGGCCACCAAAGUCAAGGAAAGAGGGCAGCCCGGUGCAGAGCAGUUAAUGGAGAGGAUAGGAGGGUAGAGGGCAAGUGACCGUCGACCAUAAAAAGCCGGCGAAGAGGAGAGAGAAAAGGGAGUUCGGUUCUGGGGAGACCGAGAGAGAUGUAGAGAGAGUACCAGAGAGAGAUUGAGCGAGACAGAGGGCCAGAGAGUUUUUCCGGCGACUGCCGUGCUCGUAUCGCGGUCGGCAACUCGUGGUUGUCGCCCCUCCGCCGUCGCCAAAUCUCGGUAGGUUCCCGUUCGCUAGUUUUCAUUUUGAUUGGUUUGGGGAUCGUUUUUUCCCAAGGAUCCCGGUUUGACGGCCUCAAGGCGGCCGGCCAUGGCCCCACUCGUCUCGGGCUUGCCUCCAAGUCGCCGUCGCCAAGCCGGGUAGGGACAGCUCGCGGUCGACGCCCCUGUUUCUCUCCCGCAGCCGGUGUCCCCUGUUCUGUCGGGCCCCUGUUUGCUCUGUUUUGGGCGUCUCGGACAAGAGCACGCGAUUGUUCCGUUCGCACAAAUUCCGGCCCGCGUCGCCUUCACGCCUCCCCCGCGACCUCAUACGUCGUGUGUCGAAAGUUCUGGCUCGGAGCCGAGCCUCCGUGGAGCCGAGAAUGCUUCGUUUUUGAAGCGCCCGCCAUGUGUUUGUUGAAAUACCUAAGUGAGAUCCGUAAGCAGGUUUCGUGGAGGGGCGACGCUCAUGAAGGCCCGAGGCCGACUUGGCCGAACGUGACUCCUCCACUUGUUCGCAGCCGCGUAGGCCGACGCUACUGUAACGUAAUGCUUGACCAGAGGAUGGGUCGAUUUUGCCGCGGUUUGAAGUAAAAGUCGAGUCUGUCAUUAGCCGUUUCGAGAGGCACACGGCCGCCGGAGCUCGGGCAUGGACGGGCCGACGCCGCUCGUCUCGGCCAAUCCUGUCGUGGUUGCACAGGAGACCGUCACGGUGGCGUUGAGGUUGACUUUGUCGGGUCUGUCGAGUGGGAGGAUCGGAGCCCGGAUCGGGUGAAGGAGCCAGACCGAUUUCCAGUUGUUUCUCUGUGCUAUUCUAGGAAA